GCGUCGAUGGUAGAGUGGUCAAUUACACUUGGCUGUAAACCAAGCGCCUUCGGGCUACGUAGGUUCGAAUCCUACUCGGCGCACUA
rnacentral:tRNA from 2 species